GAGUUUGAUCCUGGCUCAGAUUGAACGCUGGCGGCAUGCCUUACACAUGCAAGUCGAACGGUAACAGGUCUUCGGAUGCUGACGAGUGGCGAACGGGUGAGUAAUACAUCGGAACGUGCCCGAUCGUGGGGGAUAACGGAGCGAAAGCUUUGCUAAUACCGCAUACGAUCUACGGAUGAAAGCAGGGGACCGCAAGGCCUUGCGCGGACGGAGCGGCCGAUGGCAGAUUAGGUAGUUGGUGGGAUAAAAGCUUACCAAGCCGACGAUCUGUAGCUGGUCUGAGAGGACGACCAGCCACACUGGGACUGAGACACGGCCCAGACUCCUACGGGAGGCAGCAGUGGGGAAUUUUGGACAAUGGGCGAAAGCCUGAUCCAGCCAUGCCGCGUGCAGGAUGAAGGCCU
rnacentral:rRNA from 1 species